UCCUGCCGGAGGCCACUGCUAUCGGUUUCCGACUAAGCCAUGCGAGUCAUGGGGCCGCAAGGCACCGGCGCACGGCUCAGUAACACGCGGAUAAUCUAUCCUCUGGUGGGGGAUAACCUCGGGAAACUGAGGCUAAUACCCCAUAGACAUUCAAUUCUGGAAAGAUUGAAUGUUGAAAGCGCAAGUGCCAGAGGGUGAGUCUGCGGCCUAUCAGGUAGUAGGUGGUGUAACGGACCACCUAGCCUAAGACGGGUACGGGCCUUGAGAGAGGGAGCCCGGAGAUGGGUUCUGAGACACGAACCCAGGCCCUACGGGGCGCAGCAGGCGCGAAACCUUCGCACUGCGCGAAAGCGCGACGAGGGGAGACCGAGUGCCUCUCCUUUUUGGGGAGGCUUUUCGCAAGCCUAAAAAGCUUGUGGAAUAAGGGCUGGGCAAGACGGGUGCCAGCCGCCGCGGUAAUACCCGCAGCUCAAGUGGUGGUCGCUUUUAUUGAGCCUAAAACGUUCGUAGUCGGCCUUGUAAAUCCCUGGGUAAAUCGGGGCGCUUAACGUUUCGAAUUCCGGGGAGACUGCAAGGCUAGGGACCGGGCGAGGUCAGAGGUACUUUCGGGGUAGGAGUGAAAUCCUGUAAUCCCGAAGGGACCACCUGUGGCGAAAGCGUCUGACUUGAACGGCUC
rnacentral:rRNA from 1 species